ensembl:lncRNA
GCAUGGCCUCUAUUCUUGUGUCCGAAACAGACAAACAGCUGGUCAGACUCACGCCAUGGGGCUGUUCGAUCAACAUAAGUCUUCAGCGCUCUGACAGGGCAAAGACUCAGAUCUCCUGACCCUGCCUCUGCAGGGGGUAAAGCCUCCAAGACCACCUGUUGAAAGUGAAAAGGGUUUGAAGCGACCUUAGGGACAUAAUUAGGCCUCGGUCGCAGCAAUACUUUCACAGCGCCUGGUGCAAAAUCCAUGCACGAGGGCGAAACAGAAAGAGCCUGUAAAUCCCCAACUCUCUUGAGGGAGGAUAAAGCCACAAGAAGAACUGUCUUUAAAGUCAGGAUUUUAUCCGGUAUAGUUUCCAAGGGCUCAAACGGAUGCCCUGAUAAACCUUGCAACACAAUGGAUAAAUCCCAUGAAGGAACUCGCACAGGGCGGAAAGGCCUCAGCCGUCGCGCACCCUGUAUAAAACGAGAGACCAGCGGAUGACUGCCCACUGAAGCACCAUCUAUAUAUACGUGGUUAGCUGAAAUGGCUGCCACGUAAACUUUCAGAGUGGCUGGCAUUACUCCAUCAGAGAAACGGUCUUGAAGGAACUCCAGUACUGAAGCCACUGGGCAGUAAACCGGAUCCAUAUUACGAAUUCCACAUCAGGCCGUAAACAGUUUCCAUUUGAAAGCAUAUAAGCGUCUCGUAGAAGCUGCCCUAGAAUUCAUUAUAGUCUCGGUGGUUUCAACAGAAAGACCGGGACAUAUUAACUCACUCCGCUCAGAGGCCACGCCCACAGCUUCCAUAGAUCUGGCCUUGGGUGCCAAAUCAUUCCCUGUGCUUGCGAUAGUAAGUCCUAGGCCGCUAACAGACUGACCAGAUCCGCAAACCACGGCUGUGUGGGCCACCACGGAGCCACCAGCAGCAGCUGCUCCACUCUGUCCAGCCGUAUCCUGGAUAACACCGCUGGAAUUGGACGAAUCGGGGGAAAAGCAUACAAGCUGGUUCUGGGCCAAUUGUGAGCUAACGCAUCCAAGCCUAGGGGCGAUGGAGGGCAUAGGGAGAACCACAGUGGGCAAUGCGUAGUCAUGCUCGACGCAAAUAAGUCCACUCUUGCUUCUCCAAAUAUUUGCCAUAAAAGGCUCACCGUUUGGGGGUGCAACCUCCAUUCCCCCUGCUCCAGAGUCUGUCUGGAUAGCAAAUCCGCUCCGAAGUUCAAACGUCCGGGGACAUGAACCGCUCGGAUCGACAGAAAUCUGUUCUGAGACCAAAGAAGAAUAUUUCUCGCCAGCCUGCACAGGGGGCGAGAGCGUAAUCCCCCUUGAUGAUUCAGAUACGACAUAACCGCUAUGUUGUCUGACCUGAGUAGUACAUGACGGCUGAUCAGCAGAUUCGAGAAAUACUGGAGAGCUAGAAAAACCGCCAGUAAUUCCAACCUGUUUAUAUGCCAGCCGCGUUGUGUCGCCGUCCAUACUCCGUGAGCUGGGCGCCCUUGACAAACAGCUCCCCAACC